AGCAUGUGGUUUAAUUCGAAGCAACGCGCAGAACCUUACCAGCCUUUGACAUCCUAGGACGACUUCUGGAGACAGAUUUCUUCCCUUCGGGACCUAGUGACAGGUGCUGCAUGGCUGUCGUCAGCUCGUGUCGUGAGAUGUUGGGUUAAGUCCCGCAACGAGCGCAACCCUCGUCCUUAGUUGCCAUCAUUAAGUUGGGCACUUUAAGGAAACUGCCGGUGAUAAGCCGGAGGAAGGUGGGAUGACGUCAAGUCCUCAUGGCCCUUACAGGCUGGGCUACACACGUGCUACAAUGGCAUCUACAGUGGGCAGCUAUUCCGCAAGGAUGCGCUAAUCUCCAAAAGAUGUCUCAGUUCGGAUUGUCCUCUGCAACUCGAGGGCAUGAAGGCGGAAUCGCUAGUAAUCGCGGAUCAGCAUGCCGCGGUGAAUACGUUCCCAGGCCUU
rnacentral:rRNA from 1 species